rnacentral:rRNA from 1 species
UACGUAGGGGGCAAGCGUUGUCCGGAUUCAUUGGGCGUAAAGAGCGUGUAGGCGGCCAGCACAAGUCAGUUGUGAAAUCUCCGGGCUUAACUCGGAACGGUCAACUGAUACUGCUCGGCUAGAGUGCGGAAGGGGCAACUGGAAUUCUUGGUGUAGCGGUGAAAUGCGUAGAUAUCAAGAGGAACACCUGCGGCGAAGGCGGGUUGCUGGGCCGACACUGACGCUGAGGCGCGAAAGCUAGGGGAGCGAACGGG